rnacentral:rRNA from 1 species
GUCUACGGCCAUGCCCCCUGAACGUGCCGGAUCUCGGCUGAUCACGGAAGCUAAGCAGGGUCAGGCCUGGUUAGUAUUUGGAUGGGAGACCACCUAGGAAAACAGAGUGCUGUAGGCG